AGAGUUUGAUCCUGGCUCAGAACGAACGCUGGCGGCGUGGAUUAGGCAUGCAAGUCGAGCGAGAAAGCACCCUUCGGGGUGUGAGUACAGCGGCGAACUGGUGAGUAACAGGUGGGUAACGUGCCCUGAAGUGGGGAAUAACCAGAGGAAACUCUGGCUAAUACCGCAUGUGGCCCUGUGGACCCCGGUCCAAUGGGUUAAAGAUUUCGAUCGCUUCAGGAUCGGCCCGUCCCCGAUUAGCUUGUUGGUGAGGUAACGGCUUACCAAGGCGACAAUCGGUAGCUGGUCUGAGAGGAUGGUCAGCCACACUGGGACUGAGAUACGGCCCAGACUCCUACGGGGGGCAGCAGUCUAGAGGCUUCGGCAAUGGGGGAAACCCUGACCGAGCGACGCCGCGUGCGGGAUUGAAGGCUUUCGGGUCGUAAACCGCUGUCAAGUGGGAAGAAUGCCCCGGUGGCGAACCGGGGAGUGACGGUACCACUGGAGAAGCCCCGGCUAACUCCGUGCCAGCAGCCGCGGUAAUACGGGGGGGGCAAGCGUUGUUCGGAUUUACUGGGCGUAAAGGGUGUGUAGGCGGCCGCGCAAGUCUGGUGUGAAAACGUCACCGCUUAACGGGAAGACGUCACUGGAAACUGCGUGGCUUGAGUGUGGUAGAGGCAGGCGGAAUUCCUGGUGUAGCGGUGGAAUGUGUAGAUAUCAGGAAGAACACCGGUGGCGUAGGCGGCCUGCUGGGCCACUACUGACGCUGAGACACGAAAGCGUGGGGAGCAAACGGGAUUAGAUACCCCGGUAGUCCACGCUGUAAACGGUGCGCACUAGGUGUGGGGGGUAUCGACCCCUCCUGUGCCGCAGUUAACACAUUAAGUGCGCCGCCUGGGGAGUACGACCGCAAGGUUGAAACUCAAAGGAAUUGACGGGGGCCCGCACAAGCGGUGGAGGAUGUUGUUUAAUUCGACGCAACGCGAAGAACCUUACCUGGGCUUGAACCGCGGCUUACAAGGGGUGAAAGCCCCUGGCCUUUCGGGGAGUGCCGUAGAGGUGCUGCAUGGCUGUCGUCAGCUCGUGUCGUGAGAUGUUGGGUUAAGUCCCGCAACGAGCGCAACCCUUGUCGUUAGUUGCCAGCGCGUCAUGGCGGGGACUCUAGCGAGACUGCCGGUGACAAACCGGAGGAAGGUGGGGAUGACGUCAAGUCAUCAUGGCCCUUACGUCCAGGGCUACAAACGUCCUACAAUGGCCGGGACAGCGGGUUGCCAAGCCGCGAGGUGGAGCCAAUCCCUCAAACCCGGUCCCAGUUCAGAUUGCAGUCUGCAAUUCGACUGCAUGAAGUUGGAAUCGCUAGUAAUCGCGGAUCAGCACGCCGCGGUGAAUGCGUUCCCGGGCCUUGUACACACCGCCCGUCACACCACGAAAGUCGGCGGUUCCAGAAGUCGCUGCUGCAACCCGCAAGGGGGCUAGGCGCCGAAGGAAUCGCUGGUAAUUGGGGUGAAGUCGUAACAAGGUA
rnacentral:rRNA from 1 species